GACGAACGCUGGCGGCGUGCCUAAUACAUGCAAGUUGAGCGCUGAAGGUUGGUACUUGUACCCACUGGCUGAGCAGCGAACGGGUGAGUAACGCGUGGGGAAUCUGCCUUUGAGCGGGGUACACCAUUGGGAAAGAAAUCCUAUUACCACAUAAAAUCUUAAAACAUAAGUUUAAUUUUUGAAAGAUACAUUUGUAUCACUCAAAUAUGAUCCCGCUUUUUAUUAGCUAGUUGGUGAGGUAAAGGGUCAACAAGGCGAUGAUACAUAACCGACCUGAUAGGGUGGUCGGCCAACAUGGGAACGAGAAACGGCCCAAACCCCUAAGGGAGGCAGCAGUAGGGGAACUUCGGACAUGGACGAAAGGCUGGACGAGCAACGCCGCGUGAGUGAAGAAGGUUUUCGGAUCGUAAAACUCUGUUGGUAGGGAAGAACGUUGGUGAGAGUGGAAAGCUCACCAAGUGACGGUAACUACCCAGAAAGGGACGGCUAACUACGUG
rnacentral:rRNA from 1 species